rnacentral:rRNA from 1 species
AUACGGAGGGUGCAAGCGUUAUUCGGAAUCACUGGGCGUAAAGGACGCGUAGGCGGGUUGGCAAGUCAGAUGUGAAAUCCUACAGCUUAACUGUAGAGCUGCAUUUGAAACUGCUAACCUAGAGUAUGGGAGGGGGAGAUGGAAUUAGUGGUGUAGGGGUAAAAUCCGUAGAUAUCACUAGGAAUACCGAAAGCGAAGGCGAUCUCCUGGAACAUAACUGACGCUAAGGCGUGAAAGCGUGGGGAGCAAACAGGAUUAGAAACCCCUGUAGUCC